UACGGAGGGUGCAAGCGUUAUCCGGAUUCACUGGGUUUAAAGGGUGCGUAGGCGGGCAGGUAAGUCCGUGGUGAAAUCCCCGAGCUUAACUCGGGAACUGCCAUGGAUACUAUUUGUCUUGAAUAUUGUGGAGGUAAGCGGAAUAUGUCAUGUAGCGGUGAAAUGCUUAGAUAUGACAUAGAACACGAAUUGCGAAGGCAGCUUACUACACAGUUAUUGACGCUGAGGCACGAAAGCGUGGGGAUCAAACAGG
rnacentral:rRNA from 1 species